AUUGAACGCUGGCGGCAUGCCUUACACAUGCAAGUCGAGCGCGAAAGGGGGCAACCCCGAGUAGAGCGGCGGACGGGUGAGUAACACAUCGGAACGUGCCCAGUAGUGGGGGACAACCUCGAGAAAUCGAGGCUAAUACCGCAUACGACCCACGGGUGAAAGCGGGGGACCCAAAGGAAACUGAGGGCCUCGCGCUAUUGGAGCGGCCGAUGUCCGAUUAGCUAGUUGGCGGGGUAAGAGCCCACCAAGGCGACGAUCGGUAGCUGGUCUGAGAGGACGACCAGCCACACUGGGACUGAGACACGGCCCAGACUCCUACGGGAGGCAGCAGUGGGGAAUUUUGGACAAUGGGGGCAACCCUGAUCCAGCCAUGCCGCGUGCGGGAAGAAGCCU
rnacentral:rRNA from 1 species